GAAAUGCGAUAAGUAAUGUGAAUUGCAGAAUUCAGUGAAUCAUCGAAUCUUUGAACGCACAUUGCGGCCGCCAGUAUUCUGGCGGGCAUGCCUGUUCGAGCGUCAUUACAACCCUCAGGCCCCCGGGCCUGGCGUUGGGGAUCGGCGGAAGCCCCCUGCGGGCACAACGCCGUCCCCCAAAUACAGUGGCGGUCCCGCCGCAGCUUCCAUUGCGUAGUAGCUAACACCUCGCAACUGGAGAGCGGCGCGGCCACGCCGUAAAACACCCAACUUCUGAAUGUUGACCUCGAAUCAGGUAGGAAUACCCGCUGAACUUAAGC
rnacentral:misc_RNA from 1 species